ACGUACUUCUUCUCAUGGAGAGAGUGGGUAGCCAUGAUCAAGACCUGGGUUGCAUGUUUGUAGAGGUGCACAGCUCUCUCUCUCUCUCUCUCUCUCUCAUACAUAAGAGAGGGUGGUGGUGGUCACGUACUUCUUCUCACGGAGAGAGUGGGUAGCCAUGAUCAAGACCUGGGUUGCAUGUUUGUAGAGGUGCACAGCUCUCUCUCUCUCUCUCUCAUACAUAAGAGAGGGUGGUGGUGGUCACGUACUUCUUCUCACGGAGAGAGUGGGUAGCCAUGAUCAAGACCUGGGUUGCAUGUUUGUAGAGGUGCACAGCUCUCUCUCUCUCUCUCUCUCUCUCAUACAUAAGAGAGGGUGGUGGUGGCCACGUACUUCUUCUCAUGGAGAGAGUGGGUAGCCAUGAUCAAGACCUGGGUUGCAUGUUUGUAGAGGUGCACAGCUCACUCUCUCUAUCUCUCUCUCUCUCUCUCCUCUUCGAGUGGGUAGCCAUGAUUGCGAUGCCUGCCAUGGGAAGGCUGCACUCUUAAGCAACACCCUUUCGUCCUCAACAAUACAUCCAAUAAAAUGAUGUCUCAUCUUAUGCUAUCAGUGGGGUCGACAUUAAUUAUUGUUCGCGUGUCAUCUUACCAUCCAUUGAUAAGUUGGAAUCUUAUUAUAUCCACGUAGUUAGGUGAACACAUGGCGGCCAGUGAUGAGUUCGAAGGGAAAAUUUUGAGGUAGCUUUGACAUUCGUGCAAUGUGAUUGAUACAGAUAAGGAUCGAGAUUGACUGUAAUUAUGUAAAUAUCAAGUAAUAUAAUGCGGAUUAUAAAUUGGACAUCUUAUUUCAGAUGAAGUGAUAGAUAUUGGAUUCCACCUCUUCAUAAUGAUAGGAAUAUUUAUACAGGAAAAAGAAAAAAUUAUAAUAUAAAUAGUAAUUGCUCGACCAUAUUUUUAAUUCCAUGCAUUAAUUGUCUAAAAUGUCAUAAGAUAAUAAUAAUAGGGGCCUAAUAAAAUCAAUCGGAUCAGGAUCCGCAUCCGGUUUUAAUGGGACCCGUAUCAACCAUAAGUCCUCUCUGUUAAGUGAAGCUCGCUCCACG
rnacentral:lncRNA from 1 species